GUCCAUUCGGGCACAUCCGGUAAAAUUAGAAAGAUAUAAAGUAGAUUAGCAAGACCUAUGUAUAAGAUUGACACGCACAAAUAAAAAAUUGUCUAAAUUUAA
rfam:Brassica napus, WGS project CCCW01000000 data, contig: 19214